GACUGCAUCUGAAAUGAACUAAAACACUAACAACUGGGCAACUCUGAGGGAUUUUUUUCUUAAUUAAAUCAUUUGAAGUGGGAAGAUCCAGUUCUGAUCUGGUUCUCUGAGGUAGGAAGACACUCCUUUAAUCCUGACCACACCUUUUGCCGGCAGCUUAUAGAAAGGACAUGGAAGGAGGAAGCCAGCUCUCUCUGCCUGCUUACUCUGGCAAGUCCAUUUCUUCACUGACAUUAGAGCCUAAUUCUUCUGGAUUCCAGCACACACUGAAGACCAGCUGAGACCUCCAGACUUGUGUACUGAACAACCACAGAUCCCUGGACCUUUUGUUGGUGGGCAGCCAUUGUUGGACCAGCUGAACCGCAGCCUGUAUGCCAGUCUAAUAAAUCCCCAAGAUAGAUACAGAUUAUAGAUAUGGAUGCAUGAGCUCUAGACAAAUAACUAACCUAUUGAUUUUAGCAGCUUUGGUUAUUUUUGAAGGGAAAAUAAAUUUUGUUAAAUGU
rnacentral:lncRNA from 1 species